rnacentral:rRNA from 1 species
CACGAUGUAGUUUUUUUUAGCUGCGGCAGGUUAUCUUUAAUAGGACCCUUGCACAACAAGGGACCUAUGGGAUAGCAAGAGGUUCGGCCUCUUUUUUGAAGCUUCGGCUAUAAGCGAUUUAUUCGCAUAAUGUUCCAUGUAGAAUAUAGAUAAUGACUACUUUCUAUGUGAAAGUCUUGACUAAAACACGUGCCAGCAGUCGCGGCAACACGAGACAGACAAGUGUUAUUCAUCUUUAAUAGGUUUAAAGGGUACCUAGACGGCAAUUUUGACCCCCACUGAGUUGGGAUGGUAUCUUCUUGCUAGAGUUUUAUGUGAGAGGAAUUUAGUACUAACAGAGUAGAGAUGAAAUUUUUUGAUACUGUAGGGCACUGGUAACGGCGAAGGCAGACCUUUAUGUAAAAACUGACGUUGAGGGACGAAGGCUUGGGUAACAAACAGGAUUAGAUACCCUAAUAGUCCAGGCAGAGAAUGAUGAGUGCCAUAGGUUAGAGUUAUUUGAUCUAUAAAUGAAAGUGAAAGCAUUCCACCUUAAGAGUAAUGCGGCAACGCAGGAACUGAAAUCAUUAGACCGUUUCUGAUACCAGUAGUGAAGUAUGUUGUUUAAUUCGAUGAUCCACGAAAAAUCUUACCACAAUUUGAAUGUUAUAGCAACAAAAAAGGAAAGUCUUUUUAUAAUUUAUUAUUGAAACGAUGUAAUUGCUAUUAAUACAGGUGUUGCAUGGCUGUCUUCAGUUGAUGUCGUGAGGCGCGGGUUAGCCCCCGGAAUAAUCAACGUGAACCUAUACUUUAUUUUUAUUGAUAUUAUCAAUGACAUAGAGUAGCUU